AAAUCGGAAUCAGAAUCCGAAUAGUACUUUAUUUCCUAAGUAUGUACAACAUACGAGGAAUUAUUGAAUGCGUG